GUGUACAGUCCCAAGUGCACACCAACAGCUUCUGUGAGCAGCAGAUCUCUUUGCUAGCACUCCCAACCCUGCAGAUUUCAAUGUACCACACCGAAGCAUCAAAUUCCACUAAAAAUCCAGAGCAGAGCCAAGGAGGAGAACCAGCCUCGGCAAGGCAAAGAUGUGCUCUGUGUCCCAGGGCAGCGGCCAGAUUCCUCUCCCGUCCCCUUUGGCCACUUGAACCCUGCACGUCUCAGGGAAUUCGGAUGCAGAUCCCACAGGAGAGAUGGAAACAGGGUCACUGGGUCCUCUGCGUGCACAGAAGCCAUGAGGAAGGGGAGGCAGGAACCCAAAGACUUCUGCUACUCCUCGUACACACAGAGCAUCCCCAGCAGCUCCAUGGCUCAAGGCAGUGCGUGGGACUCCUGAGGCCACACUUGGACCAAGCGUCCCUUGCUGGGAGUAACAAUCUGGAGUCUUCCUAACACAGCAGGAACUGACAUCACGCUACCAAAAGUGAAUUUAUUUGCAUGGCCCAGAGUUAACAUGUAAAACAACCUAAGAAAGCAUUGGAGGCCUUGCACUGAACUGGGCUGAGUGAUGUUGAACCAACUCAUCCGCGCUUGCAGCAGGGUGAUGGGACAACAAACCACUUGCUGCCGCUAAGCAGGGCGGUUAGAAGGAGUGAAGGGAAAGGAGAGGGCAUAAAUAGUGGAGCAUGGACGAGGCUCAAUUUCCUCUUUGGUUGGGACACAAGCUGUUUGCACCCAAAGCAAAACAAACGUUUGCUUUUUCCUGCUUUGGAAUCCAAAAUGACAGCUGGCACCGAGAAGAGGCUGCAACAGUACAGGCUGGAGGCAGAGCUGCUGGAAAGGAGCUCUGCGGAGAAGGACCUGGGGGUCCUGGUAGCCAGCAGCUGACCAUGAGCCAGCUGUGUGCCUAGUGGCCAAAAGGCUGAUGGGACCCGGGGUGCAUUGCACAGAGCGUGGCCAGCAUGCAGGGGCUGGGUGGGGGGAGCUGCAGAGGUCCCUUCCAUCCCCACGGCUCUGGGUUUUGCUGUCACUGCCAAGAAGGUUGUUUUAAGCUUUCAAACCUUUUUUUUCUGCUCUUAUACGCUCAGGAAACUCCACCACCUCCACCCCACACGGGAAGAGCACAUAGCACUGGCAAGGUUAAAAGAACAACUCACUUCACCAAAACUUAAGAACCAGUUCGCUAAAGGCGGCCCUUUAUUUUUUUUUUUUUUUGGAUUUUUGCUUUCCCACAUCCUCCUGCAAUUUGUUUUUUUUUUCCUCAGAUGCAGAAGGACGCUCCCAGUGCGUUCCCCAGAACACCGCCCCGCGGGGCCGGGAUCUCCUUCUGCCGCAUCGGGACAAGCCAGCGGCGGUGCGUGAACCAAGCAUUCGUUGUGCCAUUCACAAAAUCACAGGCAUCCUCAAAAGUGCGCAUUCCGUGCUCCUCCGCACCGCUGCACGUGCCCCGCGGUGCCGCAGCGCUGCGGUGGAAGUGCGCGAUUCGCCGGGGCCGAACGGCGCAGAGCGGCGGCUGCCGGCAGGGGGAGCCCGCGCUCCACCGCGGCGAAGGCAGCGCCGGGCCCCGGGGGGCGGUGAGGGGCGGCCGCGGGGCGGUCAGGCCCGUUAGGCCCCGAGCAGGCCCCGAGGAGGCCUCGUUAGGCCCCGAGCAGGCCUCGUUAGGCCCUGCAGACCCCAAGCAGGCCUCGGUAGGCCCCGCAGGCCCCGAGCAGGCCCCGGUAGGCCCCGCAGGCCCCGAGCAGGCCUCGUUAGGCCCCGCAGGCCCCGAGCAGGCCCCGAGCAGGCCUUGUUAGGCCCUGCAGACCCCAAGCAGGCCUCGGUAGGCCCCGCAGGCCCCGAGCAGGCCGCAGCACCCAGGGCAGCCCCUCCACUGUUUACCUGGUGCCCUGCGGAUCCUCCGGGCAGGUGAUCUUCCACCGAGCCCCGUCCUGGGGGUCCUGGGAGAAACUGUCUCUAAGAACCGAGGAAUUAAUCUUACUGAGGAAAAGACAUGCUGUGCCAAGAAAUAGAGAUGAUAAGGAGCAGUCGGUGCAGUGACACAAGGCGAUGUGCUGCCAGACAGACACAAAAGGAAAUAACCCCUUCACCUGGGGCUGAAACCACCUGAGCGGCUCCGCACCUCCCUCACCAUCCUCCUCAGCAGCAGAGGAGUUGUAGCUCUUGGCUCCAGAUGGAGAGACCCCAAUGCUACUGCGGCAGGAGGACAGCACAGCUCGGCCAUAAGGGAAGGGGCAGCCCCACUCUCUGCACACUGUGAGCACCGUGGGUGUCCAGGGCACUGCACAGGGAGGAAUGCAGCAGAGAGCUGAAAUACACUGGGAGCAUCAGGAGAAGACUUGAAGCCAACGUGCCCACCAAGGAAUCAGCACCCAGAGCUCUGUACAAGCUGACGUGGAUGUACUAGAGAUGGGAAGGGGGUGGGCUCCAUGGGAGGCACCAGCUGAGCAGACCCCAAUAGCCAAGGUGAGCACCAUCUGCUUCAUGGCAUGCAGGGGGUCAGAGAUGUUUCCUGCCCCCUUCCAACCCUGCAAGGGACAAGCACGGCCCUGCUGCCACACAAUACUCCAGAUGCAUUUCUCCUCACUUCUGUUCAUGGGGGCCCUUAGGAAGUCCCACUCCCCCUUCCUCAUGCACCUAUGCUUUAGCUCCUUCUCCUCCCUUCUUCUCUGCCAUGCUCUGCCUCCUCAUCUCCUGCCACCUAUCCACGCGUGCACAGACACUUGUACCUCAUCUGCAAACACCUCUAUUGAUCUCGUUCCAGAUAGAAGAGUGGUGACUUUGUGAAGAGAACUCGAUUUAUGGGCUGCCCGCAGCCCAAAGGCUCGUUCUCUUCCUGACUUCUAAAUAUAGCUGCUGCGGAGUGUGUGUUUAAUGGAGCCGUCAAGGAGGCAUCAGGGACCGAGGCUGAUGGAUGGAGAGGAGCGAAUGCUUUGGAGAGGUAAGCCUGCCUCCUACGCUAGAUACAAAUACAAGAAUAUGAGUGUCCCAUGGCUGGCCAAGAGAAGUCUGGACAUGCCAGAGAAAAGUUCACAGGAAAGCAGCAGCUGUCAUGCAGAUGGGGCAGAGAGUGCUGCUGGGCCAGAGCUGAUGCACAGGAAGCUCCCUGUGUCCUCCAGGACCUGGCUUGUCCCAGUCUCAGGCAGCAAAUGCUGGUUUACAAAUGGAAAAAAAAAAUAAAUCUUUUGGAACGUGAAAAGAUAACUUUUUGUUUCUACAGAAUGUUGGAGCUACGCUUCUAAGUAUGGCAUUACAUCUAAUUAAAUGCAAGAUUUAUGCA